UGGUCCAAACAGUUACUGCCAUGGGAUGGGACUGCGGCCUAUCAGCUUGUUGGUGAGGUAAUGGCCCACCAAGGCGAUUACAGGUACGGGCUCUGAGAGGAGAAGCCCGGAGAUGGGUACUGAGACACGGACCCAGGCCCUAUGGGGCGCAGCAGGCGAGAAACCUUUAGCAAUGUGCGAAAGCACGACUGGGUCAGUCCGAGUGAUUCCUGAUAAAGGAGUCUUUUGCCUGUCCUAAAAACACAGGUGAAUAAGGGGUGGGCAAGUCUGGUGUCAGCCGCCGCGGUAAUACCAGCACCUCGAGUGGUCAGGACGUUUAUUGGGCCUAAAGCAUCCGUAGCCAGCGCUGCAAGUCUUCGGUUAAAUCCACCUGCUCAACAGAUGGGCUGCUGGAGAUACUACAGCGCUAGGGAGUGGGAGAGGCAGACGGUAUUCAGUGGGUAGGGGUAAAAUCCUCUGAUCCAUUGAGGACCACCAGUGGCGAAGGCGGUCUGCCAGAACACGUUCGACGGUGAGGGAUGAAAGCUGGGGGAGCAAACCGGAUUAGAUACCCGGGUAGUCCCAGCUGUAAACGAGGCAAACUCGGUGAUGCAUUGGCUU
rnacentral:rRNA from 1 species